UUGAAAGGGAAACGAUUGAAGUCUGUCGUACCGCCGAGAAAUCAGCUUUUCGAAUGUGAUUUGUGGACGUAUGAGAUCUUCAUUGUUCGCAAUAUGCGCAUUUUUUUGGUGUACUUUUUCGUAUUUGCAAUCCUCGAUCCCAGAGAUCGCCAUUACAUGAUCCUUAACAUUCCGCUUCGACCUCCUUCCCCUAUUAUUUUAUUUGAUAAAUGAGCGGCUUAGACCUGAGGAUUGCAACGAAUACCUUUUAGGCCCCCGUCUGACCUCUGAAAGUUACUUAGGUGCCGAAAGCUUGCUUACGGAAAUUUAAGUGGAUGGUCAAUAGGCUAGAACGCGAUUACAUUCGUUAAGGAUGUUGACGUA
rnacentral:rRNA from 1 species